CAGAGUUUGAGGCACAAAGGGAGAGAUAAUAAUUCAGGGCACCUCAAGAUUUUCCCUUCAACCUCCGACCGAAUGGAGCCUUCGGUACCUCUGUGCCUAUUGGCCAUGCUGCAGGAAAGCUCAGUUAUGAAAUCUUCCACUCUGAGAUCUUGGCAGAUCAAAAACUAUACGGAGCAUUUGGUCUAGUACUAAUAAAGAGAAGAAGAUCGGAGCAGCUUUGACAUGAAUGGAUCCAUCUGGCCUGGUCUCCAUACAAGUUUCCUAUGAGUUUGGUCACAGACCCUUCAAGCAAUUGUUUAAAUGAGAAGAUGCUACAUUUUCAAGCAGAGACUGAUUCACUGUAGCUUAAUAAAUUUUUACUGAGCCCA
rnacentral:lncRNA from 1 species